AACGAACGCUGGCGGCAUGCCUAACACAUGCAAGUCGAACGAGACCUUCGGGUCUAGUGGCGCACGGGUGCGUAACGCGUGGGAACCUGCCCUUAGGUUCGGAAUAACUCCCCGAAAGGGGUGCUAAUACCGGAUAAUGUCUUCGGACCAAAGAUUUAUCGCCUUUGGAUGGGCCCGCGUUGGAUUAGCUAGUUGGUAGGGUAAAAGCCUACCAAGGCGACGAUCCAUAGCUGGUCUGAGAGGAUGAUCAGCCACACUGGGACUGAGACACGGCCCAGACUCCUACGGGAGGCAGCAGUGGGGAAUAUUGGACAAUGGGCGAAAGCCUGAUCCAGCAAUGCCGCGUGAGUGAUGAAGGCCUUAGGGUUGUAAAGCUCUUUUAACCGGGAUGAUAAUGACGGUACCGGGAGAAUAAGCUCCGGCUAACUCCGUG
rnacentral:rRNA from 1 species